rnacentral:rRNA from 1 species
UGGGGAAUAUUGCACAAUGGGGGAAACCCUGAUGCAGCGACGCCGCGUGAGCGAUGAAGUAUUUCGGUAUGUAAAGCUCUAUCAGCAGGGAAGAAAAUGACGGUACCUGACUAAGAAGCACCGGCUAAAUACGUGCCAGCAGCCGCGGUAAUACGUAGGUGCCAGCAGCCGCGGUAAUACGUAGGUG